UACGGGGGGAGCAAGCGUUGUUCGGAAUUACUGGGCGUAAAGCGCACGUAGGCGGCUUUGUAAGUUAGAGGUGAAAGCCCGGGGCUCAACUCCGGAACUGCCUUUAAGACUGCAUCGCUUGAAGUACUAGGUGAGAGGUGAAGUGGAAUUCCGAGUGUAGAGGUGAAAUUCGUAGAUAUUCGGAAGAACACCAGUGGCGAAGGCGACUUACUGGACACAUAUUGACGCUGAGGUGCGAAAGCGUGGGGAGCAAACAGG
rnacentral:rRNA from 1 species